ACGAAAUGAAACAUAGCCUUGCCGUAACAGAACAGUAAGGGGCAAUUUAAAGUUGGAAUUUGAAAUAGGGUAGUAGUGACUGCAGUGUGGCUGGCAGCACAAAAACCAUGAGGAGUUUUCAAGCGCCUCCGCCUUCAACCAAACCAAACACCACCAACUCCUCGAAACCCAGCAACAACCCAAAGCCCUCUUUUGUUCCCGCAAAGGAUGACACAAAGCCUGUGCUUCAAGAUCCGAUACUGAGAUCAGAUCCUAUUGAGACAGAGGAAGCUGUGCUGCGAAUACCUCCCUUCUCAAUCCCCAAAUCAACUUCUCCAGCGUAAAUGGCCUAAGCGUUUUAAAAAAGUAUAGAAAAAACAAAAAUUGUGUUUCUAUACAAUGCAUCUAACUUAAUUUCAGCUAUUGUUGUCAAUACUCAAUAUUGUGGUUGUUGCUUCUUAAAUGUGCUUGUCAAUUGGGCCCAAUUGCGUUUGCGUUGAUACUUGAAGAAAUGAGAGGAUUUAUUAGAUGGAUUUACAUUCAGUUUGCUAA